rnacentral:rRNA from 1 species
UACGUAGGGGGCUAGCGUUGUCCGGAUUUAUUGGGCGUAAAGAGCGUGUAGGCGGCCAGGUAGGUCUGCUGUGAAAACUCGAGGCUCAACCUCGAGACGUCGGCGGAAACCAUCUGGCUAGAGUCCGGAAGAGGAGAGUGGAAUUCCUGGUGUAGCGGUGAAAUGCGCAGAUAUCAGGAAGAACACCCGUGGCGAAGGCGGCUCUCUGGGCCACUACUGACGCUGAGGCACGAAAGCGUGGGGAGCAAACAGG